GUAAAUAAUUAAGGGCGUAUGGUGGAUGCCUAGGCUCUCAGAGGCGAAGAAGGACGUGAUAAGCUGCGAAAAGCUCCGUUUAGGUGCAAAUAACCUUUGAUGCGGAGAUCUCCGAAUGGGAUAACCCAAUAUGUUGAAGACAUAUUAUACCGUAAGGUAGGCAAACGCAGGGAACUGAAACAUCUAAGUACCUGCAGGAGAAGAAAACAAACGUGAUUCCCCCAGUAGCGGCGAGCGACCGGGGAAAAGCCCAAACCGUUAUUGUUUCGGCAUUAACGGGGUAGUAGGACUGCAAGCUUGAUGAAAUAAAUGAAAUGGAACACCUUGGAAAAUGUGAUCACAGAGGGUGAUAAUCCCGUACAUGCAAGUUUAUGAAUCAUAGCAGACUCCUGAGUAAGUCGGGACACGUGUAAUCCUGACCGAAUCCGCCGGGACCAUCCGGCAAGGCUAAAUACUCCUGAGAGACCGAUAGUGAACCAGUACCGUGAGGGAAAGGUGAAAAGCACUUCGAACAGAAGAGUGAAAUAGUCCCUGAACCCAUACGCCUACAAGCAGUCGGAGCCGCUUCGUGCGGUGACGGCGUGCCUUUUGCAUAAUGAGCCUACGAGUUACUCAUCACCAGCGAGGUUAAGUACUUCAGGUACGUAAGCCGAAGCGAAAGCGAGUCUGAAUAGGGCGUCAAGUUGGUGGUGGUAGACGCGAAACCUUAGUGAUCUACCCAUGGGCAGGGUGAAGGUUUGGUAACACAAACUGGAGGCCCGAACCGGUAAACGUUGAAAAGUUUUCGGAUGACCUGUGGGUAGGGGUGAAAGGCCAAUCAAACUGGGAAAUAGCUCGUACUCUCCGAAAUGCAUUUAGGUGCAGCCUCUGUUGUUUUGUUCUAGAGGUAGAGCUACUGAUUGGAUGCGAGGGCUUCACCGCCUAUCAAAUCCGGCCAAACUCCGAAUGCUAGAACAUGAAGACAGGGAGUGAGCCAGCGGGUGCUAAGGUCCGUUGACGAAAGAGGGAGAACUCAGACCAUCAGCUAAGGUCCCCAAUUGUAUGCUAAGUUGGAAUUAAAACGGGGUGGGACUGCUUAGACAGCUAGGAUGUUGGCUUGGAAGCAGCCAUUCAUUUAAAGAGUGCGUAACAGCUCACUAGUCGAGCGGUCCUGCAUGGAUAAUACGCGGGCAUAAGCAUAUAACCGAAGCUAUGGGAUUGUAGAUGAUACAAUCGGUAGGAGAGCAUUCCAUUCAGCAUAGAAGCAGUAUCGUGAGGUAUUGUGGAGCGGAUGGAAAAGCAAAUGUAGGCAUAAGUAACGAUAAUGCGGGUGAGAACCCCGCACGCCGAAAGAUCAAGGAUUCCCCGGCAAUGUCAAUCAUCCGGGGGUAAGUCGGAUCCUAAGGGUAAGCCGAGUGGCGAUCCCGAUGGCAAACAGGUUAAUAUUCCUGUACUGAUCAUAACUGCGAUGCAGCGACGCAGAGGUGACACUGCUGCGUACUGACGGAAUAGUACGUUGAAACCCGUAUUCUUUGAUACCGGUAGUGAAGCACGCCGGUAGAGAUGAAAGGUGAUAGUACCGCAAUGCUUCGGUUGCGCGGAUAAUGCAGGUAAGCUGACUGCCAAGAAAACCUGCUAAGCUUCAGGUAAUGAUCAUCCGUACUGUAAACGGACACACGUGAUCAGGUAGAAAAUACUAAGGCGCUCGAGAGAUUCAUGGUUAAGGAACUAGGCAAAAUGGUCCUGUAACUUCGGGAUAAAGGACGCUCUUGUGAAAGAGCCGCAGAUAAUAGGCCCAGGCGACUGUUUACCAAAAACACAUGGCUAUGCUAAUUCGCAAGAAGAUGUAUAUGGCCUGACACCUGCCCGGUGCCGGAAGGUUAAGAGGAGAGCUCAGAGGUAACUCGAAGGUUUGAAUUGAAGCCCCGGUAAACGGCGGCCGUAACUAUAACGGUCCUAAGGUAGCGAAAUUCCUUGUCGGGUAAGUUCCGACCU
rnacentral:rRNA from 1 species